rnacentral:lncRNA from 1 species
GUAGCCCUGAUAUUAAUUGGUUGGUACUCUAGACUAGACUUCCUGGUUAAAAACUCAUUACGUUAGACUUAACUGUUCAGCGUACAAAUUGUCAAUGAUUUCAGGUAAGCAAUAAUUCUUUUAUCAGAACAAAUGUUAGCGUAUAUCGCUAUAUUUCAAACUGUUAUGUAUAUUGUUAACACUAAUAAUUUCGGACUUUUACGUUGUUGUAUUUUUUUGUAUUUGCAUACAAAGUUUUAUACGUGCAUAGAAAUAUAGAUUUCUCAAGUUCGGAUAAUGACGUUUUUGUGGAAGUCGGGUAUAAGUUUGCCUGUAGUAAGGAUUUGGGGACAUCAGCUUUUGUAAUCAGAAAAUCUUAAUAUCCUACAAUCUAGAAGACGUCAAGUUGUUCAUUCAUUCAAUGCACUAUAUUUAUAUAUUUAAUUAACAAGUUUUUUUCAAAUCGAUCUUGAUGGCUUCAUUGGGAUUGAACUUGAAUUGAGUCAAAUAAGUUUUCUUAUGUAUCAGUUAAAACAACAUUAAAUUUAAUUUAGUCUGUUCAGCUUUAUUUCAAAAAUUUACAAUAAUUUCACUUCGGGCAAAAUAUAAAAGUACCUUGGUUAUGUUCUUGAAUUUGCUCUUAGAAAUCUCUCAAAAAGACUCCGAUAUCUGAAUGAAGUUUCAUAUGUAUUUAGAUCAGAUCUCAAUGUUACAACGCUUUCAAUUGUUGUUCUGCAUCUUGUUUGUCGAAUUUGUAUAUUAAAAAUGCGCAAAGACGAGUUUUCUCUGGCGUAUAUACAAAAUUUAGUCCUGGUAUCUAUGAUGAGUUUAUUUACAACCACUGGGUCGAUGUCACUGCUGCUGGAGAUUUAUUUCCAAGAGGGUAUCACCAGCCCAGUAGUCAACACUUUUUGUACUGAGAUGAAUUAUCAUUGAUAUGGUUAUAUUUAUAAAUUAACUGUUUACAAAAUUUUGAAUUUUUGAAAAACUAAGGCUUUUCUACCUCAGGCAUAGAUUACCUUAGCUGUAUUUGGCAUAACUUUUUGGAAUUUUGGUCCUUGAUGCUCUUCAACUUUAUACUUUAUUUGGCCUUUUUAACUUUUUUGGAUUCGAGCGUCACUGACGAGUCUUUUGUAGACGAAACGCGCGUCUGGCGUAUAUACAAAAUUUAGUCCUGGUAUCUAUGAUGAGUUUAUUUCUACGUUUAUAGUAUCUUUAUUGAUGACAUCAAACCUCGUGUAUAUCAACCGACAAUUUGUUUUCAUUUAAUUGAUUUAUGACCUUUAAAAAGAGGUAGACAUAAAGGCAACAGUAGUAUACCGAUGUUCAAAACUCAUAAAUCGAUAGAAAAAAAGAAAUCCGGGUCACAAACAAAAAACCGAGGGAAACGCAUUAAAUAUAAGAGAAUGACAACACAACAUUAAAAUGUAACACACACAGAAACGAACUAAGCAUUGGCACUCACACCACAUGUUCCUAUAUCAAUGUACAAUAUAAUCUGUGCUCAAUGCAAUUCCAAUUCAAUGGAUUACAGUGGAUUCAUUCUUCUUUGUUGAAAACCAAUUUUCGCGGAUUUCAUUAGUACUAGUACAUGUAAACCACAAAAUUAAAUGUACAACGAAAAACAAAUGUUCUAAAGGCUUGUAUGAAGACUUAGGAAAGCCACGACAUUCUAUGCAUGUAUCUUGAAAAAAUGCACGUUUUCUUUAAUCCACGACAAUUAGUACCCACGAAUAUAAAUGAAUCCACAGUAAUCAAUUGUUUACAACAGAAUUUGAUAUAUGUUACCUAUUGCAUUUGCAAUAUUUAUAGGCGGUAAUAGGACGUGUAUACGUAUCUAAAAGCGUUUAAACAAUUCACAAGACCAACAAUGUUUAGUUACCUCUAAAAUCGACUCGAUGCAAAAAUGUGAUUUCGUAGUUACGGAUGGAUCAAUUCUUUAUAAAGCAUUGUCAUAUACCAACGUAUUCUGAUAUUGUUGGAAUUUCAAAUAGUAAAAAAAGAAAGACACUUCUUUAGGCGAUAUAUUCCCUAAGGCUUUUGAAAAAAACUUUAACAGGGUUGGUUGAAUCAAUAGUUGGCUUGUCUUAUAUUAAUUACGUACGUUUAAUAGCAAAAAAAGGAAGUUAAAAGGCUCAAUCAUACCAGACAACUUAAAUUAGUAUUACUAAUAAAUUAAAACAAAGCUUUAUAAUACAACAUAAAAGUUCAGAAUGUAUUCUGAACUGAGAAAGCUAAUUAAUUGCAUGGAAUCUUACAUAACAUAAGACUAUAUUUACAUUUCAUACGCAAAAAGAACAUUUGUGAUGAAAGGCAACAGUAGUAUUGAAGAUUCGUUGAUUCGUUUUGAAGAAUAAUUACUGACAUUUUUUCUCCAUCUGCUGCCCAUAUAUUUUUUCGAGAUUCUACAGAUACAUUCAUAUCUGUUUUUAAAGUCAGUAUGGUAAAUGCAACCUGAACCUCAGCUGAUGAUUGUUUUUGGUUCUUUUAUCGGGACGAUCAUUGAAGAUUAUUUCGCUUGCAGUCGUGAUACACAUCUCGUUUUCAAAGAAAAAUAAACAAUAAAAACACUAAAAAGCAAAAUACAAUAACAAAAUAAUUCAAAGGAUACAAUGUCUUCUUUAUUUCAUACCACCCACAUCUUGUUCACGGAGAUAAAACAUCAAACGAUCUUUCAAAUUAGAAGUCCACAUUUUAACCUGUGUAUCGUUUUUCAUAAAUUUUAAGAUGAUUUUGGAAGAUUGCAAAUAUUUUUUCCAUGUCAAAAAUAAAGACUUUGUUAUUAUUUAUUGGUUAUUAUAAGAUUGUUCAUGAUGUGGCAAAUAUCGUUAGAUUUGUAAAUUCAUUAUACAUGUGAUAUCAUACUCAUGCCACCCUUACACUCUCCAUGUGUGUAUGUUAUUGUUGGAAAAUGAAUACCCUCAUAGAUUGUCGUGACAUCUUAGGCUACCUCGUUUUAUUUGUUUUUAAAAAUAGAUAAGUUAGAUAAACAUGUUACGCCAUCAGCAUUUCCUUUGGUUUUUGUCAAUGUGGGGAUACAGUCUGUGCUGCCCUUCCUCGUGUACUUGUUCAAAUCGAAGAGUCUACUGUAAUAAUCCACAACAAAUGUUUGAUUCAAUACCUACAGAUAUACCUUCAAAUACUUUAUACCUGUAAGUACUAUAUAUAUACUCAUUUUAUUAUACUCGCACAUUUCAGAAUAUUCAAUUGAUAAUCAGGGUUUUUAUUCAACAUGUAAUUUAAGUGUACAGUGAUUAAUUACAGUAAUUUCACAUAUGAAACAAAAAUCAACACGCAAUUAAUUACGAUCAUCGUAACAACCUCUCUAUAGCAAACUGAAUACAAUGUCGCAAAGUUGAGACAUCAAACAUAAGAUCAUUUGACAACACAUAUAUAAAGAAACAUUUACUAUGAUACAAUAACACAAUGACGGAAUUUUUCAAUACAGAGCCACGUCAUAUGUAACAAAAAAAUACAAAAAAGCGCAGUAGGAAAAAAGAAAAUUGGAAUACAAAAACUAUCAUAGAACAAUGACGGUAUGUAAACGUAUAAAACCAUCGCAUAUUUAGUUAAAAUGAGGGAAAUAUUCAUUAGUUUACUACAUUUCACUGUCACACAAUAGGACAGCAUUUAGUAUCUGAUUUUAUUUUUUAAAUCCUGACAUAAAUGUAAUUUAAAGUAGACAUGUAAUGAAGGGACGGAUAAUACCAGAGGGACAGUCAAACUCAUAGAUUGAAAAUAAACUGACAACGCCAUGGGUAAAAAUAAAAAGACAAACAGACAAAUAAUAGUACAGAAGACACACAAUUGAAAACUAAAAACUAAGCAAAACGAACCCUAUCAAAAACUGGGGGUGAUAUCAGGAGCUCCGGAAGGGUAAGCAGAUCCUACUCCAUAUUUGAAAACUGCAAGAAAAUAGCAUGCAAUGAUAGCCCCGGUCAAUUCUUUUAUUGGCAUUCUUAAUAAUUCUAUUUCCAGCUACUUUGAUAACCAGCUUUUACGAAAUCUAAGCUCUUUGAAUUGUAAUCAGUUUCCGGACCUACAAGAGUUGUAAGUAUCCUACAUAUAUGUACAUUUCAAAUCAAACCACUUCCCGAAAUUUUGGCAAGGAAUGAAUAAAUUAAAUAUAUGCAAUAGUAGUUCGCCGAUGUUUAUAUGUUUUAAAUUGAUUAGGAAGAUACAAUGUAAACCAUAGAGACAAACACACAAAAUAAGAAAAUUGGAUGAACUCCAAAACGAGAGAAACGGUGUCAGAAUCUCCUGCUAUGCACACAUCAUCCGUGCUUAGAAUCCAUACUCAGUCAACAUAUCCCAAUCGAGAAUAUGUUAUAAUCGAUAUAUAUACAGACUGGACGAGAACAUUUGUAUAUAAAGUCCUUAUAAUGAGAACAUGUACGAGCAUUUACUGUCACUUGAAUAUUUGAACGGUGUACAAUGUAGCAGAGGGAACACUUCUGCUGAAAAAUUAAAGUAGACAAUUGGAAAGUUGUAACCCUCACGUUUGUCGGUUCUUGUUCCGAGAAAACUCAAGAUAUGAAGCAGGAUUUCUAGUUAAAGCAUAUUUUUAAUUUCACGUUCAGUGGGAUAAAUAAGAUGCAAGCAAAUAUGAGAUGAAAUCAGGUAAUAAAGUUGUAGAGUAUCUUUGAUAUUCUGGUACUUUUUUUACGCAAUAAAAAUUAUAAGACUAUUUCAAUAAAGAUUAAAUUCACAAAUAUACACAAGGGUAAUUUCAUUUAUUUUCAAUUUUUUUGGUAGUGUUGGAAAUUAACAGUAUCACAUCUUUUUGUAGUUGAUGCACAUUUGUACUUAAUUUUGUAAUAAAGUUAUAACAUUGUUAUAAAGCUUAUUUCCAAACAAUUGACUGACUAUAGAUGUGUAGAAAUAUCUUUCAUAUGCAGUUUGACAUGUAUCCAGAAUUAAUUAAUGAAGGACUAUAAAACCAAAACAAAAGUUCCGAUGAAACUUACUUAAUGUUUUUGUUUUUAUUUUAGGUAUAUAAACAGAAAUCAAAUUGAAGUGAUACAGGACACAGAUUUUCUUGGAUGUUCGUCGCUAAAUAGAUU